rnacentral:rRNA from 1 species
UACGUAGGGGGCGAGCGUUGUCCGGAAUUAUUGGGCGUAAAGAGCGUGUAGGCGGUUCGGUAAGUCUGCCGUGAAAACCUGGGGCUCAACCCUGGGAUGCCGGUGGAUACUGUCGGGCUCGAGUCCGGAAGAGGAGUGUGGAAUUCCUGGUGUAGCGGUGAAAUGCGCAGAUAUCAGGAGGAACACCAAUGGCGAAGGCAGCACUCUGGGACGUGACUGACGCUGAGACGCGAAAGCGUGGGGAGCAAACAGG